CUGGGAUCGGGCUGUUCAUGUACAUAUCUCCGAGAUGCGCGAUUCAGCUGCCUCGCCUCCGCUGAGCACGAGCAGUCAGCCCUGCUGUGAAAACGCUGCUGGCCGUGUGGUGAUUUCUUACAGCGAACGGGACACCCCUCCGUCCUGUUGUGAUGGAAUCGCCCCUUCAUCCUCUGCCGUGAUGAUCUCUUAUGUCUCUGUGGAGAUGGUAUCGCCCAACUUCACCGCUUGAGUAGCGUGGUUUGGAAAGGCUUUGAGAGUAUAUAGAAACUGUCAGGCACUGGAACCAAAUGAGAAAACAAGAGCUGGAGCCUGGCCAAAAAAAGGAGAGCUUGCUGAUGAUUCAUUGGACCAGACCACACCAGAUUCCCCCACCCCAAUGGGAGAUAAUAAGGCCAUUUAUAUGGGUGUCAGUGGACAGGAAGCAUGACCAUAUCUGGAUUCUGAAGGGCAGACAAUCAAGUCUUCAGAAGAAAAUGUUGGAAGAAACCACACAGACUUUUAUAGUGAUGAAUGCUGUCUGGUGGGAUGCUAUCCCUUUAAACGUCUGCCGACGGGACAGUUGACCCUUCGCAAAGACCUUACUUUUGCAAAGAGGAAACUGACAACGCUCCGACAGACAAGACAGCAGGUUACUUUUGCUAUCAACCAAAGCCUCAGCUUUCAAAUUGUC
rnacentral:lncRNA from 1 species